rnacentral:rRNA from 1 species
CAGCCGCCACGGUAAUACGGAGGGUGCAAGCGUUAAUCGGAAUUACUGGGCGUAAAGCGCACGCAGGCGGUUUGUUAGGUCAGAUGUGAAAUCCCCGAGCUUAACUUGGGAACUGCAUUUGAAACUGGCAAGCUAGAGUCUUGUAGAGGGGGGUAGAAUUCCAGGUGUAGCGGUGAAAUGCGUAGAGAUCUGGAGGAAUACCGGUGGCGAAGGCGGCCCCCUGGACAAAGACUGACGCUCAGGUGCGAAAGCGUGGGGAGCAAACAGGAUUAGAUACCCCUGUAGUCCCUGUCUCUUAUAC